rnacentral:rRNA from 1 species
UACGUAGGGACCAAGCGUUGUUCGGAUUUACUGGGCGUAAAGGGCGCGUAGGCGGCAAUUCAAGUCAGCUGUGAAAUCUCUGGGCUUAACCCAGAACGGCCAGCUGAUACUGCUUUGCUAGAGUGCAGAAGGGGCAAUCGGAAUUCUUGGUGUAGCGGUGAAAUGCGUAGAUAUCAAGAGGAACACCUGAGGUGAAGACGGGUUGCUGGGCUGACACUGACGCUGAGGCGCGAAAGCCAGGGGAGCAAACGGGAUUAGAAACCCCCGUA